GAAGGUAUAGCUCAAGUGGUAGGGUGUAUGCUUAGCAUGCAUGAGGUCCUGGGUUCAAUCCCCAAUCCCUCCU
rnacentral:tRNA from 1 species